rnacentral:rRNA from 1 species
UACGAAGGGGGCUAGCGUUGUUCGGAAUCACUGGGCGUAAAGGGCGCGUAGGCGGCUUUAUAAGUCGGGGGUGAAAGCCUGUGGCUCAACCACAGAAUUGCCUUCGAUACUGUAGAGCUUGAGACCGGAAGAGGUAAGUGGAACUGCGAGUGUAGAGGUGAAAUUCGUAGAUAUCGGGGAGGAACACCAGGUGGCGAAGGCGGCGAUCUGGGAAGAUACUGACGCUGAGGUGCGAAAGCGUGGGGGAGCAAACAGG